rnacentral:rRNA from 2 species
AACGCGAAGAACCUUACCAAGGCUUGACAUCUAGAGAACCUUCCGGAAACGGAGGGGUGCCCGCAAGGGAGCUCUAAGACAGGUGGUGCAUGGCUGUCGUCAGCUCGUGUCGUGAGAUGUUGGGUUAAGUCCCGCAACGAGCGCAACCCCCGUUGUUAGUUGCCAUCAGGUAAAGCUGGGCACUCUAGCGAGACUGCCGGUGACAAACCGGAGGAAGGUGGGGAUGACGUCAAGUCAUCAUGCCCUUUAUGCCUUGGGCUACACACGUGUUACAAUGGCUGGGACAAUGCGAUGCAAUCCCGCGAGGGGGAGCGAAUCGCCAAACCCAGUCUCAGUUCGGAUCGUAGGCUGCAACUCGCCUGCGUGAAGUCGGAAUCGCUAGUAAACGCCAAUCAGCACGUGGCGUUGAAUACGUUCCCGGGCCUUGUA